rnacentral:rRNA from 1 species
AGACGUCUACAUUAGACUACCCGGUAGUCCCAGCCGUAAACUAUGCGCGUUAGGUGUAUCGGUGACCACGAGUCACCGAGGUGCCGAAAGGGAAACCGUGAAACGUGCCGCCUGGGAAGUACGGUCGCAAGGCUGAAACUUAAAGGAAUUGGCGGGGAGCACCACAACAGGUGGAGCCUGCGGUUUAAUUGGACUCAACGCCGGGAAGCUCACCGGAUAGGACAGCAGAAUGAUUGCCGGGCUGAAGACUCUGCAUGACUAGCUG